rnacentral:lncRNA from 1 species
AUCACUAGGUGGAUAUUGUUAUGCAAGGAAGAGAUGUGAAUAUACAGGAAAUGAGAUCCUUAAAGGGGUUGCCAUCCAGAUGUUAGAUCAAAGAGAUUAUGAUUCAUUCAACCAAGUCGCUGGACUUUUGAAGGCCUAUCCAAGUCGUGGUGCCUUUGAGGUUGCGCCUGUUACUAUUCAAAACUUGGUUUUAACCAUUUAAGGCCAUGAGGUGUGAGGUCUUUUGAGAGUGAAAGAACUCAUAUUAAUCCAGCUCCUGACUCCUAAAAAAACAGUAACUCUUGUAAUUAAAAUGGGCAGAGUCCAUCAAGAAGCAGUGUCCAGAAGGCAGCACUGGGCCAUGUGGCGGGCAGCAGUGUCACCAGGAAACAUGCUGAGCUGGGUCAGGAACUGCGCAAGGAGGAGGAGACACUGCUCCUGUUGAAGGCAGCCCUCGCAUGACCUGCUGAAUCACAUCAAGGUUGAAGCAUUGGCCCUCCAAUCAAUGAUUAGUUCUAGGAGAGGGGAUGAGGUGCUGUCUUCUCCAACUUCUCCAACUGUGCCUGAACAGUCACACGUCAUGUCAGUGCAUAUAGAGAAUGAAGCAUCAGUCAACCAAACUACGCUGGAGUGGAGCAUAGAGUCCUGUGACAGAAGAAGAGGAGGAAGAGAAAGAAGAAUCAGAUCCCUAAAGGAGGGAAAAAGCCAGGAUUCGUUAUACAAAUUAAAUUUCUAAGUCUCAGGCUCUUUCUCCCCAAGGAAAUCAUCUUGCCAUGAGCCCUAGGGCCUGCUUGAAUGGAGAGCAAGAACUAUAGGAGGAUGUGUAGCUGCAAAAAUUUCUCAUCAAUAACUCAAUCUUCAGAACGUUAUGACAUACAGAAAAUCAAAGAUGCUGUGUCUUAGCAUUGAGCAAUAUGGGUGGUGCUAUGUCUGUAGUCUGGUCAAAUUCAGUAACUGUUCAAAACAAAAUUUCCUCUGGAAUACUAUUGAGAAAAUCUGGCAUUUGCAAAAAGGGCAGAGUUUAAAUAUGAGUCAGUCUUUCCAAUCAACAAUACCUCUUUUAAGAAAACCAACUAAAAGCUGUUUGCAUGCCGUUGAAUCCUUGUGAGCAGUUAGGCCACAGUCUAGGACAGAAAGAUGACACGGGGAAGGACUGAGGGCCAUCUGAGAACAAAGGUUGUUGCUACUUCUCAGAGUCAUUGAGACACACUGCAUGCUGUAGACUGCUUUGUGUAGCUGUUAUCACAUCUUGCUUGAGAUGUCAUUGGCAGAAUGUUCUUGGAAAUAAAUUAUAGAUAAAUAGCCAUCAUGGAGUUUGCUGGUUUCUAGAUAGCAAAAGAGAAAAGAAGCAGUUCCGGCCUG